rnacentral:rRNA from 1 species
GGGUUUAAUUUUUUUUUUGGGUGCGGGUCUAUAAUGCAAGUCGAGCGGACAGAUGGGAGCUUGCUCCCUGAUGUUAGCGGCGGACGGGUGAGUAACACGUGGGUAACCUGCCUGUAAGACUGGGAUAACUCCGGGAAACCGGGGCUAAUACCGGAUGGUUGUCUGAACCGCAUGGUUCAGACAUAAAAGGUGGCUUCGGCUACCACUUACAGAUGGACCCGCGGCGCAUUAGCUAGUUGGUGAGGUAACGGCUCACCAAGGCGACGAUGCGUAGCCGACCUGAGAGGGUGAUCGGCCACACUGGGACUGAGACACGGCCCAGACUCCUACGGGAGGCAGCAGUAGGGAAUCUUCCGCAAUGGACGAAAGUCUGACGGAGCAACGCCGCGUGAGUGAUGAAGGUUUUCGGAUCGUAAAGCUCUGUUGUUAGGGAAGAACAAGUGCCGUUCAAAUAGGGCGGCACCUUGACGGUACCUAACCAGAAAGCCACGGCUAACUACGUGCCAGCAGCCGCGGUAAUACGUAGGUGGCAAGCGUUGUCCGGAAUUAUUGGGCGUAAAGGGCUCGCAGGCGGUUUCUUAAGUCUGAUGUGAAAGCCCCCGGCUCAACCGGGGAGGGUCAUUGGAAACUGGGGAACUUGAGUGCAGAAGAGGAGAGUGGAAUUCCACGUGUAGCGGUGAAAUGCGUAGAGAUGUGGAGGAACACCAGUGGCGAAGGCGACUCUCUGGUCUGUAACUGACGCUGAGGAGCGAAAGCGUGGGGAGCGAACAGGAUUAGAUACCCUGGUAGUCCACGCCGUAAACGAUGAGUGCUAAGUGUUAUGGGGUUUCCGCCCCUUAGUGCUGCAGCUAACGCAUUAAGCACUCCGCCUGGGGAGUACGGUCGCAGCGAAAUAGAAAGAAUAUAUGUGUUGGUGGCGG